CCCCGCGCCCCCCCCCCCCCCGCCCCCCGCGUCGGUGAGGACAGCCAUGGAUGGGCCCCCUGGAGCUCUUCUGCCGUCGCCCGAUCUGGCCACCCGCCCAGUAGCCGGACCGUGCUCCGGAUCCAGCCAACAGCCUCGCCUCCGACUCGAUUCAGACGCCCACAGCCUUCCUCCGCCACAUGCGCCAUGCAUGAUGCAUGCCCCCAGCUCGCAAGGAGGCCAGGCACCUCGUCCAACUGAUGCACCGACGGCGCGUAUCGGCGUGGGGGUGGGCCGGCGACACACAACGGCAUAUUUCUUUUUCUCUCUUGUCAGUACCGCUUCGGGUUGACUUAUAAUAGUACUGCGGGUUGAAUACCCAAAACAGCAGGAGAUUUUCUGUAAAAAUGCCGACGACGUACGACCAGAAGCGUUCCGUGCUUUAUUAGUAGGUAGAGAUAGAGAUUUAUACUGGAUUUACUUUUUGAUUUCGUUUCAAUGGAAUGAAGACCGAGGAGACCCUGUUGGUCAGAAAA